ensembl:lncRNA
GGUAGAUGUCUAGUCUCCUUUAUGGCUCUAAUCUGAUAGUGGGGUGGUAGAUGUCUAGUCUCCCUUAUGGCUCUAAUCUGAUAGUGGUAGUGGGUGGGAGAUGUCUAGUCUACUUUAUUGCUCUAAUCUGAUAAUGGUAGUGGGGUGGUAGAUGUCUAGUCUCCUUUAUGGCUCUAAUCUGGUAGUGGGGUGGUAGAUAUCUAGUCUCCUUUAUGGCUCUAAUCUGAUAGUGGUAGUGGGGUGGUAGAUGUCUAGUCUCCUUUAUGGCUCUAAUCUGAUAGUGGUAGUGGGGUGGAAGAUGUCUAGUCUCCUUUAUGGCUCUAAUCUGAUAGUGGUAGUGGGGAGGAAGAUGUCUAGUCUUCUUUAUGGCUCUAAUCUGAUACUGUUAGUGGGGUGGUUGAUGUCUAGUCUCCUUUAUGGCUCUAAUCUGAUAGUGGUAGUGGGGUGGUAGAUGUCUUGUCUCCCUUAUGGCUCUAAUCUGAUAGUGGGGUGGUAGAUGUCUAGUCUUCUUUAUGGCUCUAAUCUGAUACUGUUAGUGGGGUGGUUGAUGUCUAGUCUCCUUUAUGGCUCGUAUCUGAUAGUGGUAGUGGGGUGGUAGAUGUCUAGUCUCCUGUAUGUCUCUAAUCUGAUAGUGGUAGAUGUCUAGUCUCCUUUAUGGCUCUAAUCUGAUAGUGGGGUGGUAGAUGUCUAGUCUCCUUUAUGGCUCUAAUCUGAUAGUG